CUUACACACAGAAACAAAAUGCAUCUCUUACACAAUCAAUGCACCCCUUACAGACACACACUGCAUUAAAUUAAAUACACAGAAACACACCUUGCACCCCUUACACACACACACACACACACCCAGAAGCAUACAAUGCAUUCCUUACACGCAAACACACACUACAUCCCCUAUAAAACACACUACAUCCCUUACAGAAAUUGGUAUCCCUAUACACUACAUUCUAUAAGAAUACACACACAUUGGAUCCUCUAUAAUAAUCCUUGCACCGGCCCUGACUACAAAGUACUGGUGCUGUAGUUUUCCAAGAGUCCUUGUUCUGCUACUGUUGAAGAGACGCUUAUUUUGUCAAAAAACAAAUGCUCCGACCACCCACACUUAUCGGAAAGCAAAGAACAUCCAGUUUUACUUGGUCAUUACAUUGAUAGCUGUUGGAGCUGUGUUUUAAGCCUUAGAGGUAAACCUUGCCAUUUUUACAAAACUGCCUUGAAUGGUUAAAAUUACAAUAUCACUGCACCCAGGCCAC